rnacentral:rRNA from 1 species
GACCCUAUAGAGUUUAAUAUUUAAUUAAUAAAUUAUUUUUUAGAAUUUAAUAUUAAUUUAUUAAUUAAUUAUUUGAUUGGGGUGAUUGAAAAAUUUAAGUAACUUUUUUUAUACUAAAACAUUAAUUUAUGAUUGUUUGAUCCAUUAUUUAUGAUUAUAAGAUUAAAUUACCUUAGGGAUAACAGCGUAAUUUUUUUUAAGAGUUCAAAUCGAAAAAAAAGAUUGCGACCUCGAUGUUGGAUUAAAAUUUAUUUUUGGUGUAGAAGCUAAAUUUAUUGGGUCUGUUCGACCUUUAAAAUUUUACAUGAUCUGA